GAUGAACGCUGGCGGCGUGCCUAAUACAUGCAAGUCGAGCGAACAGACGAGAAGCUUGCUCCUCUGACGUUAGCGGCGGACGGGUGAGUAACACGUGGAUAACCUACCUAUAAGACUGGGAUAACUUCGGGAAACCGGAGCUAAUACCGGAUAAUAUAUUGAACCGCAUGGUUCAAUAGUGAAAGACGGUUUUGCUGUCACUUAUAGAUGGAUCCGCGCCGCAUUAGCUAGUUGGUAAGGUAACGGCUUACCAAGGCAACGAUGCGUAGCCGACCUGAGAGGGUGAUCGGCCACACUGGAACUGAGACACGGUCCAGACUCCUACGGGAGGCAGCAGUAGGGAAUCUUCCACAAUGGGCGAAAGCUUGACGGAGCAACGCCGCGUGAGUGAUGAAGGUCUUCGGAUCGUAAAACUCUGUUAUUAGGGAAGAACAAAUGUGUAAGUAACUAUGCACGUCUUGACGGUACCUAAUCAGAAAGCCACGGCUAACUACGUG
rnacentral:rRNA from 1 species